rnacentral:rRNA from 1 species
UGGUCGAGGAUUCUGGGGUCUUGGGACCGGGGGGAGCCAGAGGUAUGCUUAGGGGAUCGGUAAAAUGCAUUAAUCCUUGGUGGACCACCUGUGGCGAAGGCGUCUGACUAGAACGGGUCUGACGGUGAGGGACGAAAGCUGGGGGAGCGAUCCGGAUUAGAUAUCCAAAAUUACCCAAGCAAAUUUUCGGAAUUAAUCGAGAAUUAUUGCCAUCGGGGAUUACUACUGCAAAAUUUAAGAUAAUUCCAAUGAAAUGUUAAUUUUCCACUAAUUACCCGAGUACUCCCAGCUGUUGACGCUGGAAGCCCGGUGUGGCUGCUUCUAGCGGAAUAUGCUAUGUCAAAGCGAAAGCGAUUAGCUCGCCGCCUGGGUAGUACGGUCGCAAGACUGAAACUUACCCGAAUUGGCGAGAGAGCACAACUGGGGGUGCGGCGUGCGGGUUAAUCCAACUCCUCUUAAAUAAUCUCACCAGAGGCAACUGCAUGA